UUAGUGCCUUUGGAGGUUUUACAUUGUCAUCAAAGCACAGAGAGAACAUCAUGUCUUCUUAUAACCAAACCAUUACUGCAAGUCUCUAGAAAGAAAGAACAAAAAAAAACUAGUAGCCCAGCUAAAUGCAAUCCUAAAUGUUGAGACUUGUAGAGUGAAACCAAUAUCAGAUGAGUGUCAGAGUUGCAACAACUCAUGACACAGCCUAUUUGUACAAGAAACUAUGCCAUUACUUUAGCUCCAGGCUUGGUUUCUCCACUGGUAUUAAUUAACAUCACCCUGCAUCUGCAACACCAAUCCUCUCUCUCUCUCUCUCUCUCUCUCUCUCUCUCUGAAGUAUUUGGGCAUGCGCAACAAGCAUGCUUUGCUAAAUCAUCUCUUUUGCCUCUCAUCUCUGUCCACCAUGAGUUGCUGACAACCAAGAUCUGCCGCAUGCUGUUUUAAAUAGGCUCAAAUCAUGUCAUGAGUUGUUCUUUUGACAGUACUAAGCACAUAGGAUUAGGUAGCCCAAGUAUAAUAUGGAUUUCCUUGGUGGCUACACGCAUAGUUGUGGCCACGUCCACCAGUUGACCUUGUUACUCUCUUCCAUAACCCCCAAGAAAAGACGAUAUGACUCGUAGUUUUCCCCCUCAAAUGUGAUAGAUUUUUCACAGCAAGAAGAAAAGAUGUGCCUUUUAUUUUCGCCUAGAACUCGGAGGAUUGUCCAUUGCGCACAUCCACGAGAGAGCUUUGUUGAUGGAUAAAUGGGAAAGCUUUCGUCUUUUUGGCGGUGUUUCCUUCCGAACUUUGUCCUGUUUUCCUGCGCUACGAGAGAGGCAGGAAGGAUGAGUAAAAACAGAGAGGUAAAUGGGAGAAGGGUUAGAGUUGUUGGGCCUCUCGAUGGUGCUUUGGGCUACAAACCAGAGAGCCGCAGAGGAUCCUUGAUGCCGGUUGGUUCAAAGGAGGACGGCGACUGUAGAGCCUUGAUU
rnacentral:lncRNA from 1 species